UAGUUUUUUUUCUGUCAUAUGCUAUAAUAUUCCUAACCGUAAAUAUACUAGAGCCAUUCGCCGUGGCUCUUUUUUU
rnacentral:misc_RNA from 1 species